rnacentral:rRNA from 1 species
CGCUAUCACUCCUACGGGAGGCAGCAGUGGGGAAUCUUGGACAAUGGGGGCAACCCCUGAUCCAGCCAUGCCGCGUGAGUGAUGAAGGCCUUAGGGGUCGUAAAGCUCUUUCGCCUGUGAUGAUAAUGACAGUAGCAGGUAAAGAAACCCCGGCUAACUCCGUGCCAGCAGCCGCGGUAAUACGGAGGGGGUUAGCGUUGUUCGGAAUUACUGGGCGUAAAGCGCGCGUAGGCGGAUUAGUCAGUUAGAGGUGAAAUCCCCAGGGCUCAACCCCUGGAACUGCCUUUAAUACUGCUAGUCUUGAGUUCGAGAGAGGUGAGUGGAAUUCCGAGUGUAGAGGUGAAAUUCGUAGAUAUUCGGAGGAACACCAGUGGCGAAGGCGGCUCCACUGGCUCGAUACUGACGCUGAGGUGCGAAAGUGUGGGGAGCAAACAGGAUUAGAUACCCUGGUAG